rnacentral:lncRNA from 1 species
GGGUGCCUCGGGCCCGGGUGCCGAGCAUGAGCCGCCGCGGGCCGCGCGCUGCUCGGGGCCGGACUGCGGCGCGAGGGCUGCGCGGGAGCUACGCUGGCCCGGACCCAGGCGGACCAAGCUUCCAGUGCCUCCAACCCGGACACCUCGUCCAGCACCUGGGCUAUUUCAUGAAGUGCAUUUUCCGUGUUGAGACUCAAGGCCGUGAGGAACAUCCAGCCCACGCGGCCGGCUGUAGCCUUCGCCUCCUCCGCCAACUGCUCAGCUAAAACCUGCAGGGCCCUCGCCACGCUGGUCGAGAGCCAUCCAUGUCCUCCCACCCCAACUUGGGGGUCCAACUCCUGAGAACAGUGGCCACCGGGCACCACAUACUGUGUGGGGGCCACCUGUCCUCCUGCCCAGAGUCAGAUGCCAUUCCUACCUGGCCGGAAUCUUGCUCGCCGCGCCAGGCGUCUGAGUGGAUGGAGGCCUCCAUGUAAGAUGUCCGCAACCCUCGGAGCCCACAGCAGCAGCCUACCAAAAAGCUGGUGAUGCCUGCUAUGGCCAACAGGGUGGCGUGCCAUCCAGAGGCUCGAGAGGACCACCAGUUCAACGAGGGGUCACAUCUCUCCCAGGCAGACUGCACGCCCUGUCUCUGGCGCUGCUCCUCAUGGGCUUCCCGAGACUGAGUUUUCACACGCACAAACUGCUCUUCCAUCCCUCAGAGAGCUUUGGCCUGCACCAUACCCUGCUCGCUGAGCCAUUUGUCAUGCAAGGCUGACUGCGGGGUCUCUGCUCCCGCUCCCCACAUAAGAACACAGGACAUGGUGAGGUCAAAAAGGAACACCCGCGGAGCCAAUAGAUAGAGGAGUCAUACCACUACUGUCUCACUGGAGGCUGGAUCCACACGACCUGCAACCUGCUGUCCGCUUCUCUGCCUGCCAACCAACCAACUCACCAAUCAGUGCAGCCAGGGCAGUUAUAUCAGUGGCUAAUUGGCUAACUGGUAACAGCUGACGGCCAACUUAGCGACAGCUGACGGCCAUCUACUACUCAAGUCAGCACCUUUCCACGUGAGUCCAAGAGCCUGGAAACUGCUCUCUGGGCCUCUGUUCCCACAU